rnacentral:lncRNA from 1 species
UGUAAUCAAUCAAACUUAUUGUAUUCUAACAUAUUUUAACAACAAAAAACAUUAUUCAAGACAUUUAAUGCUUGAAAGCAAUGGUUGUGGGUUCUUAGCUCAUUUCGGCCCAAAUUUCAGCAAGUCUUUCUACACUCUUCUAAACACUCUUCAUGCAUCUCUAGAACUUGUAAUCAAUAAAAUUUAAUGUAUUAUAACCUAUUCUAACCCCAAACAACACUAAACUAUCCAUUUAGUGGUGCAACGCAAUGU